rnacentral:lncRNA from 1 species
GAAGUUCCUCUGCAUAGACCAAAACUUGCUCUAACAUUGAUCAAAGCCUUCUUAGAAGGAACCUCCAUGCCAACUCUUGAACCACGCACACUCACCGCCGCAAUUUGAUAUGAUACAUUCAAGAUUAUGGUUGUUAGAUUGCCGUUUGUAUUUGUCUUUAUUAGAAAACAAGUGGUAAAUGCGAUAUGUUGUUCCUCAACCAAAGACUGGUUUAAAUAAAGAGGAUACAAAUACAAUUAAUUCUCUUCCUAGAAUCAAGAGAGUUUAUUUAACGAUUGAGCCGUGUUGAUUGAUUAGUCUCACAGUUCUACUUACAAAUAUCUUUGAUUGGCAAGGACAAAAAACCUAAAAAAUGGUAUUGAUUGAUUUAAAUAAUUAUUAGUAAACAAAUUCUAUUAAUCGAUUGAUAAAACUAAGUAAUUUAUUGUAAUGAUUUCAUGCUUUUGGUCGGAAACAGUUGUAUGAUACACUCUGCUAACACAAAAUGUACAGGAUAUACACUCUUCGAGGAGUGUGGGCUCCAAGAAUAUUCAGGCAAGGAAAAGGAAGCAAAAUUUAGAGAGAAUUUAGAGAGAAAAUGGUUUCAAUGUACUUCAUUCAUGCUGAAAACUACUAGUACAAUGAACAAAUCAACAUGUUAUAUAGGGUAAAGGCAUACAUGACUAACUGAAUAACAAACUACACAGGGGUAGAAAUUAACAGUAAAAGACAUCAUAAUAAUUAUUGAAAGUUACUCUUCACACUUAUGAAAUCGUUCAUUCCUUUGACUGCCGCUGAUACAAGGGAAUGAACAAUUUCAUAAGUGAGAAGAGUAAUUUUUAUAAUUAUUUGAUUUUGAAGACCUAAAGGUGUUGUCGUGGCAAUGGGUAUUCCAUAGGUUGAAGAUUCCCAUUUAUUUGUAUUAUGAAUGGUGUUGGAAUCCUAGACUAUGUUUGUUGAGGUAGUUUUUUGGGUCAGCUGUUGUGGCGUUGGUGCUGAUUCGGGUGUUCUGGCGUUGUUGCGUCGUUGCUGUUUGUUUUUGGUGCGUAGCCGGAGGGUGCCCUUACUGUUUUAGACUUGCUGGCAGGCUACAGGUUCGAUUCUGUUUUCUGUUGUUCGGGUCUGCAGUACUCCCUUUUUGCUGGUUGUUGGCCUGCGGGGGCUGUUCUGUGGUUGUAGUUUUAGGUGACUGUGUUUUUCAGUCAUUUUUGCUGCCUGUUAGUAGUGCUCAGGGGACUGCAUUGAUGUUUUUAGUGGCCUUUUUUUCUUUAGUUUUUUGGGGCCGGUUGCACCUUGGUUUGAUGUUUCAUUUGUACCUCUUGUGCUUGAAACACUUGUAAAUAAUAUUUUGCUGUCUCAAAAAAAAAAAAAAAAAACAUUGAAUAGGGAUUCCAUAAUAGAAAAUCUUAUCUAAAAAAUACAAAUUAUUUUCAUCAGAUUAAUAAUUACAACACUUUUUAUUUUUUAUGUAAAAUAACUUUUUGUUUUCUAAAUUAAGACCUUUAGGACACUCAUUAUCAUCUUUAUUAGUCUUAUAAUGUUAUAAAUAAAUUAUAUGAUAUAUAUAUAUAUAUAUAUAUAUAUAUAUAUAUAUAUAUAUAGGGUCAAAUUGCAUAAAUAUCAAAAUGUUGGUUAAAAAAUAUGAUAGGCGAGUGGGGUCAGGAGACCCGCGUUGCCCCCACCCUCAAUCCGUGGCUGAGCCUAUGACACCAAUUUUACAACAUGUCAAAAAACACAUGUAUCAUUCAGACAUCAAUAGGUAGAAAACAAAAUUAAAAUAGUAAAUGGCAGAAACAAUGUUGCACUGGACAGUUCCUCCAUUAAUGAACAACCCAAAAGUUGUUCAUUACAUUAAACAAGUGGUCCUUAUAGAGACAAUGUUAUGGAAGAAAUGGUACAUUGGCAAUUGUAUCUGAAAUGGCCAAUUCUGAGUGGUCUCAAAUCUUUGCCAUAACAUUGGCAACCAUUUUCCUAUGCAACAACAAUUUCACAUUUGCAACAGACCCAUUUGUCCAACAAGAACAUGACAGGAUUGAUAGACCACUCCCAGGUCAAAACUUCAACAUCAGCUUUGAACACUAUUCUGGUUAUAUAACAGUGAAUGAGGAUGCUGGUAGGAACUUGUUUUACUGGUUCAUUCAAGCUGAUCAUGUAGAUCCUACUUCAAAGCCACUUCUUUUGUGGCUCAAUGGUGGUCCUGGUUGUUCUUCUAUUGCUUAUGGUGAAGCUGAGGAAAUUGGUCCUUUUCAUAUUAAUUCAGAUGGCAAAAACCUUCAUUUUAAUCCUUAUUAUUGGAAUCAAGGUGAGUUAAGAGUUAUUCUGUGUUUACCAAUUCAAAAAAUAUAUUUAUGUUAUGUGGAAUUGUAUUCCUGUGUUGGGUGUGUCUACUUCAAUUGGUUUCUCACUAGUGGACGGUGGGGUUGGUAUCCUAGAUUAGACGGCCAUUAGGUCGGAUAUCGAGUUUCCAAUAAAAAAUGCCAUGUUAAACUGUUUUAUUUGUGUUUUUUUUUUUUUUUUUGUAGUUGCCAAUUUUCUUUAUAUCGAAUCUCCUGUUGGAGUUGGAUUUUCAUAUUCAAAGAAUUCAUCUGACAUUCUCAACAAUGGCGAUAAGAGGACAGGUAAGGUAUCGCUUACUUGGAUCUAGAUUCUUUGCAUUUUCUUAUACAUGCUUUUUCACGCAUUAAUUAAUCAUGGUCGAACCAACAUUAUGCUGGGAGAGUUGUGACUCUCACAGAAAAGAACCCUAAUUCGAUUCCUGGAUUCAUUUAUUUGGGAGUUAGCCCAGCCCUGGUAAAAAAAUGAAAUCAGAUGUCCCGCUGCCGAUGAAUAGUCUCAUAGCAGGCCCAAAGGGCCUAAGCCGUAGGAUACAUUGGGGAGCCUACUGGGGUCAAAGAUCCUAAUUACGGGGUGUUAGCAAAAAAAAGUCUUGGUCAUUGAUUUGAGAUUAGUCGUAUAACAUUACCAGGGGUGGCCUUGGCGGGAUGGGUGACUGCCCAGGGCAAGAGCACAAAAAAUCUUAGGACCGACCCUGAACAUUACACCUGUAUCAGAUUAUCUUUAAAUAGUCUAUACCAAGAUUAAUUAAGGUGUCACGCAUUUGGAGUCUCAAUUAUGAAGUGAAACUUAUAAGCCGAAGGAUUCUUACUUUUAAUAGAGUAGUAUUUUGUGACGAGUUCUCCCAUUUGGUGAAUGCUCGUUAUAUUGGUGUGUUUGUUGGGAUGUUGACUUCUUUGAAAUAAUUGUCCACAGAGAGUUCUGAUCGAUGAGGAAGUUGAGUGGAUUGUCCAUGAGUGAAGUGUCAUGACGUUGUCUCUCGAUUAGUGAGAGUUCGUAAAAUUGAUUUAAGUUAAAAUUCAGCUGGAUGUAAAUAUGGUUGGACACAUUCACGUAAAAAUCAAGUUUUCAGGCUAAUGCUUUAAAUCACAGUUUCAAGUUAGAAUCUAUUCUAGAGACACAGUCAAUUCUACUUGACAAUACUCAAACAUGUCUAAAUCAAUUUAAUAUUUUCAGAAUCACUUUUGCAUCCAUCGAAAAUGAAACCAAACACACGUGUCUAGGGGUUCUUACUAACGGACUUGUUUUUCAACGAGCUCUACUUUUUGGAGUCCAUAGCACUUCGUGUAUGACGAUUGAAUCAAAUUAAAUUAAUUUAAUAAUUCUUUAUGUGCAGCUGAGGAUAAUCUCAUAUUUCUUUUAAAGUGGUUUGAGCGUUUUCCCCAGUACAAAAAAACAGACUUUUUCAUCAGUGGUGAGAGCUAUGCAGGUAAACGCAAAUGGUGAGAUAGAUGAGGACAUAUAUUAUGUCUAGUGUUUGAGUUCUCUAACUUUGGUCUUGCUUGUUUCAGGACAUUAUAUUCCUCAACUUAGCCAAGUUAUUGUCAAGUACAACUCGGCUACAAAACAAGAUUCUAUAAAUUUCAAAGGUUUCCUGGUAUGAAUUCCAUUUUUACACAAAAAAAUAGUAAUAAUCCCAUGCAAUAUUGCAAGAACGUGGAGAAAAAAUUGCCGAAAACAACGUGUCAUUAGGGGAAUAAUAUGUAUCUCUGUCUGCUGCAGGUAGGAAAUGCUGUAACAGAUGAUUUCCAUGAUCAAUUGGGGAUUUUCGAGUUUUUGUGGACAAAUGGUAUGAUUUCGGAUCAAACAUUCAAGCUCUUGAACUUGCUAUGUGAUUUUCAGUCAUUCGAACACCCGUCAAAGUCAUGUGAAAGGAUCUUGGAAAUUGCUGAUAAGGAAAUGGGUAAUAUAGACCCAUUCAGUAUCUUUACCCCUCCUUGCCAUGAGAAUGAUAAUCAGCCGGAUAGAAGAAAGCAUGUAAGUUGAUCUUUCUAGCUUCUACUAUUGUUUUAUCUUGUCUUUAAAGGUCCUAAUAUUGUUGCCUGUUGAAGAUUUCCUUGUUUGUGAUGGUGCAGUACAUGUUUACAAAAACAUACUGUAUUAAGUUAAGAUUAUGAAAAAGAUCUUAAUGGGUAAAAAAAAAAAUGUUCUUAAAAUGUGAUGUGCUCAGUUUGAUUCUGUCUAGAUAAAUGGAGCGUUCCUUCUAAAUUAAUUGAAGAUGCAGAAUGAUAGAGUACAUGGGUUACAUCCUAUUUUUGUUAGUAAGCAACUAGGCAGAAUAUUAAGCAAAAUAUAUAGGAUAUAUGUCACAUGACUGAAAUGGGUUCUGCCAAAGGCAUCUCAAUUCCUCUGCCUGAAAAUCUGAAUCUGUACAAUUAUGGUUCUUUAUUUGGAUGUUAAUCAUCCAUAUGAGUCUUGGCUAGGAAACCUUGGAUAUAUUUAGUUUGGGACAGAAGGAGUUUGGAAAUUACAAUUUGAAUCCUGGAAGCAGAACCGGCAGUAAAUAUUAUAUCACUAUCAUCAUCGACUUAGAUCAAUGUGUAAAGGCAGCAUGCAACAGUUUUAAGAUUCAACAAGGAGAGAUCACAUUUACUUUCUGAGAAGCCAAAACCGACGAGUUUUUUUGAGCACUUCAUAUCAUGUUCUAGGCUUCCUACCCUUGCUAUAUGCGGUUACACAUUUCUGUUUUUAGAGUUCGGAAUUCGGCUGUAGGUGCAGCUUUAGCACAGCUUGUGCUAUAAACUAUGUUUGUAUAAAUAUUUUGGUUCAAUAAAUUUAUUUGGCUUGUAAGAAAAGCAUUAAAUUGAUGGAUUCGCUAUUUAUUUGGCUUAUAAGAUAAUGUGCACUGUAACAACCUUACAGGCUAAACAACUAAUGAGAAGUUUUCUGAAUAUUCGAUAAAACCCCAUCAUACUCUUUCUGUGUAGCGGUCCUCCGGAGGAAGGGCCUAGGCAUGCUUAAAAGUGGAGCCCUAUUAUUUUUUAUUCUUCAAUUGUAAAGAUAAGUGUACGAUGCAGUUUAGGAAUGGGAAUAUGUUGGGGUAAGAAAGGAUUCUAACACAAUUCCUGGCUUGGACCUUGUUUGCAUUCGAUGGACAGCUCUGCUAACUAAAUUAGAAAGGAGGAACCUGGAUUAGUAUUACUUGAAGCAGUAUAGUAAUAUUCAUGAGACGGAGAAGAGGAUGUUUGAGUAUCAUUUUGCAUAAGGUGCAGGUGAAGGAGAAUCAACCUGUGCGGUAAGAUGGGAGGAAUUUGAAGGGAAUGAGAAAAAGGGAAAGAUAGAGGAAUCAAUUCCUCAGUUUUUUUGAGAGAGCAUUUUUUAAGGGAAUGGGAUGAAUAUACUUAAGAGUAAUUUUUUGUUUGUUUUAAGUGUAUUAUCAAGAGAAGUAGUGAAUUUGAAAUUUAUUCGAUAUCCUCCAAAACCCUUCCCCAAUGCAUCUUUUUAGUUCCCCAUAUUGGAGGGUUUUAGUCCAAUGAAGAAAAAUAAAAUCUCAUGCAAGGUUGGGAACAUAGUCACAUAAUUCGUAAUUCGCGUUGGUACGCGGUACGCAAUAUGUGAAGAAUCCGGCACGUAUGGGGGUAUAGAGUUUCAGUAUGCGUCGGUUCGUAAUUCCAGUGUCCAAAAGAAAUAAGGCCAACACUAAGAUAAAAUGACACACAUCAUCCAAAAGUUGACAGGCAGUUAGUAGCAUAAGUGCACAACUCGGUUGUUUAAACCUUAAGCUUAAGUCCCACAUCGGAUGAUUUGAAAGAACAAGAGAAGAGAGCUGUUUAUAAAACCAACCAAAUGGAGCGCAUACUGUAUGGAUUAAUGUAUACGGUGCAUAUCACCGUUUAUUAUUAUUUUUUGUUUAUUUUAUAGUUCAAACCUUUUUUUUUCCCAACCAAUUAGUGCUAUUCUUUCCCUGGUACGCCAUUUGUUGCGAAUUCCACACGAAUUGGUUCGCGGUUCUCCGCCAAAUGAACGAAUUAUGUUACUAUGGUUGGGAACUACUCACCCUUCGUUAGUUCAUUUUCUCUUUAUUCCGUCCUUUAUCCUCAAAACUCUCCCUUUCCAUCCAAACUCCCAAGCAUAGCCCAAGAUGGACCUGAUAGUUUGAAUAACACCAAGUGGGAGAACUCUGCAGGUUGCAACUAAUGCAGGUGGAGAUUCACUGGAAAAGGAGAAUUUAGUUUCAUGAAACAGGACAUCUUUAGUAAUGAACAUUUAACUUGGGGGUUGCACAGCUGCUGCCAGCUUCUGACCGCUGAAUCUGUGACUAAUACUUCUGCCUGUUAAUUUGAAAAUAAAUUACAAAAAUAACUGCACAUAAUUAACUUUGUAAAUUAUUGCCUACGUACUGUCCAUAACAACCUCAGUUAUCACAAAGCAUCCAAAAUGAUAGAAAUUCUACACUUUAGCUUAUAAAUUCCAACUACAGAUACCGAGGCAUAUUCUCAACAUUGAAUUAUAUGAUUUUUUAUUUUAUUUUUAUAACAUAAAUCCUUAUUCAUAUCACCAAGGUAUAUGAUUUGUAACAGAGUUUUGGAAGACUCAGAGGUGUGUAUGAUCCUUGUACAGAGAAUCACAGUAAUAUAUACUUCAAUCGACCAGAGGUCCAAAGGGCUCUACAUGUUAAUCCAGAUCAUAAGCCUGAUAAAUGGCAGACCUGCAGGUAAGGCUCAAAAACAGAAACUUUAGAAAGUCUUUACAUUUUUUUUUUUUUUAAAACUCGUAUCUGAUCCAAUAGAAAGUCUUUACAUAUUAUAACAGCAUGUGUUACAAAUCAUAUAACCACCUAAUUUCAAAUAUACGACGAACUGAAAUGUAGAAACGGUAUGAAAAUAGUACUGAAAACAGAAAUACUGUCGGAGAAGCAAAACACUAUUCUGCACUAUUAACUAACAAUUGAAGAAUUCUUGCAACUAUGACAUUUAAUAAUUGGUACUAACUUCAAGAAUUUUAGGCACAACAUAAAGUGCAUCCCUGUAUUUCUUUCCACGUUUAUAACAAAUUCAUAAGAUCAUAAUCCAGUUAUUAUCAUUUAUUACAGUGAUGUGGUAGGUACUAACUGGAAGGAUUCACCUAGGUCAGUGCUCAAUAUAUAUCGUGAACUUAUUCCUACCGGGCUGCGAAUAUGGAUAUUCAGGUUACUCAUUCAUCCACUGUCACUCGCAUAUCAUUUUUUUCCUAAAGUAAUUUUAGGCGCCAAAGGGACUUACAUUUUUGUGUUUCCUCAAUUCAUCUAUGUCAUGGCAGUGGUAAUACUGAUGCUAUAAUCCCAGUAACAUCUACUCGCUAUUCCAUAAAUGCUCUUAAGCUUCCAACUGUGAGCCCAUGGCGUGCAUGGUAUGACGAUGGGGAGGUAAGUCAUAAUAGACAGAUAGAUUCCAUUAUUUUCUUCGUUUAGAUUAUAUUUUCGCAUUGGGUAGCUAUCGUUCACUUAACAGUGACUUCAUUGCAUUGACAUAUAAUUGAACAAACAGGUAGGAGGAUGGACCCAAGAAUACGCCGGACUCACAUUUGUUAACGUAAGGGGUGCAGGGCACGAAGUUCCUCUGCAUAGACCAAAACUUGCUCUAACAUUGAUCAAAGCCUUCUUAGAAGGAACCUCCAUGCCAACUCUUGAACCACGCACACUCACCGCCACAAUUUGAUAUGAUACAUUCAAGUUUAUGGUUGUUACCUUCCCGUUUGUAUUUGUCUUUAUUAGAAAACAAGUGGUGAAUGCAAUACGUUGUUCCUCAACCAAGGACUGGUUUAAAUAAAGAGGAUACAAAUACAGUUAAUUCUCUUCCUUGAAUAAAGAGAGUUGUACUCGAGUUUAUUUAACGAUUGAGCCAAGUUGUUUGAUUAGUCUCACAGUUCUACUUACAAAUAUCUUUGAUUGGCAAGGACAAAGAAAACCUCAAAAAUGGUAUUGAUUGAUUUAAAUAAUUAUCAGUAAACAAAUUGUAUUAAUCGAUUGAUAAAACUAAUUGACUUGUAGUAAUGAUUUCAUGCUUUUAGUAGUAAACAGUUGUAUGAUACACUCUGCUAACACAAAAUAUACAGGAUAUAUGCAUUCUUCGAGGAGUUUGGGCAUCCAGAAUAUUCAGGCAAUGAAAAGAAAGCAUAAUUUAGAGAAAAAUGGUUUCAAUGUACUUCAUUCAUGCUGAAAACUACUAGUACAAUGAACAAAUCAACAAGUUAUAUAGGGUAAAGGCACACAAGAAUAGCUGAAUAACAAACUACAGAAGGGUAGUAAUUAACAGUAAAAGGAAUCCUAAUUAUUAUUUGAUUAUUAGGAAAGCCAACAAUGCCAAGAGACUUUUUGGUGUAUCGGAACAAUAUACAAAUAUAUCUCAAAGGGACUCACAUUUUAAUAUGAUGACCUAUUUUUCUUUUUUUGAUAUAAUUUUACACGUGACUAUAUUUUUAUUCAUAUAUUAAAUAUAGGAUAAGUCUUUUGAAUUUAUUGAAAUUCCAACAAACUUAGCAUAUGUUUGGUUUCAAUUUUGGAUGUUUUUUUUUAAUGAGAAAUGAUAGUAUGUUAUUUGUUAUGUUAUUAUUUUCUCCUUUGUCAGGAUUCAAACUUUGGACCUUUAAAUCCCCAACUCUUUUAAUCCCUUAGUAAUUUUACAUAAAUACAUCCCAAAUAUAAAUAACUUAAAUUCAACUCACCUUUAUCCAUAAUCUAUUUUUCAAAAUCAUUUGUCAUCAUCGCAGAACCAAACACGCAUUUAACCAAAAUUGCCUAAAUAGAAAUGUGUGCCAAUAAAAUGAAAUUUUCAGUUUACAGAAACAAAAACUUGGAGGGUUUAACUGUAUAAGGAACAUUCCUACUUACAUCAUGUGUCAAAACACAUAACUAUAGAAGUUAGAGACGUAACCUGCAAUUCAUGUAUUAUCUUUGACACCAACGUGAACAACACACCUACUCAAUUAACUUGGAUGCAAAGAUACAAAAACUGACAGUGCAAAAAUACAAAACUGACAUUCAAUAAUUACCUUAUCUUCAUAUACUAUAGUUAAUUAAUAUUCUUAUAAAUACUACAGAAUUGAGUGGUACUGUACCUAUCUACCAUCUGAAAUGGCCAAUUCUAAGUGGUCUCAAAUUUUGUUCAUUGUCAUCAUAACAUUGGCAAACCUUUUCCAAUGUAACAUUGCAACAGAUCCAUUUGUCCAACAAGGACAGGACAAUAUUGGUAGAGCACUUCCAGGUCAAAACUUCAACAUCAGCUUUGAACAUUACUCUGGUUAUAUAACAGUGAAUGAGGAUGUUGGUAGGAACUUGUUUUACUGGUUCAUUCAAGCUGAUCAUGUAGAUCCUACUUCUAAGCCACUUCUUUUGUGGUUCAAUGGUGGUCCUGGUUGUUCUUCUAUUGCUUAUGGUGAAGCUGAGGAAAUUGGUCCUUUUCAUAUUAAUUCAGAUGGCAAAAACCUUCAUUUUAAUCCUUAUUCUUGGAAUCAAGGUGAUUUCCAGUAAUUCUGUGUUUAACCAUUCAAAAAAUUUAUUUAUUUUAUGUUGAAUUGUAUUCAUGUGUUGGGUGUGUUUACUUGGAUUGGUGUCUUGCUAGUGGACAAUGGGAUUGGUAUCCUGAAUUAGCCAGUCAUUGGGUCGGAUAUCAAGUUUCCAAUAAAAAAUGCUAUGUUAAACUGUUUAAUUUGUGUUUUUUAUUUUUUUUAUUCUGUAGUUGCCAAUAUUCUUUAUAUUGACUCUCCUGUUGGAGUUGGAUUUUCAUAUUCAACAAAGAAUUCAUCUGAUGACAUUCUCAACAAUGGCGAUAAGAGGACAGGUAAGGUGUCACUUACUUGGAUCUAGAUUACUUGCCUUUACUAAUACACGCUUUUUUACGCAGUAAAUAAUCUUGAUCAUACCAACUUUGUGUUGAGAGAGUUGGGAGGUAGCCCAACCCUUGUAAAAAAAAAAAAUCAGACGUCCUACUGCUGAGAAUUAGUCUCAUAGCAGGCCCAAAGGGCCCAAGCCAUAGGAUACAUUCGGGCGUUUACUGGGGGUCAAAGAUCCUAAUUACGGUGGGUUGAUGAAAAAAGUCUUGGUCAUUGAUUUGAGAUUAGUCCUAUAACAUUACACCUAUAUCAUAUCAUCAUUAAAUAAUCUAUACCAUUGAUUUGAGGUCAGACGACCAAGAUUAAUUAAGGUGUCACACAUUUGGAGUCUCCAUUAUGAAGUUAAACUUAUAAGAUAAAGGAUUCUUACUCUUAAUAGACUAGUAUUUUAUGACGAGUCCUCUGAAUUGGCUGAUGCUCAUUAUAUUGGUGCUUUUGUUGGGAGGUUGACUUAUUUGAAAGAAUUGUCCACAAAGGGUUCUGAUCGAUGAGGAAGUUGAGUGAAGUGUCAUGACGUUAUCUCUCGAAUAGUGAGACUUUGUAAAAUCGAUUUAAUAUUUUCAUAAUCACUUUUGCAUCCAUCGAAAAUGAAACCAAACAUACGUGUCUAGGGGUUCUCCCUAACAGACUAGUUGUUUUGGAUGAGCUCUCUUAUUGGAGUUCAUAAUACUUCAUGUAUGUUCAUUGAAUAAAAUAAAAUUAUCCUUUAUGUGCAGCUGAGGAUAAUCUCAUAUUUCUAUUAAAGUGGUUUGAGCGUUUUCCCCAGUACAAAAAAACAGACUUUUUCAUCAGUGGUGAGAGCUAUGCAGGUAAGCACAAGUGGUGGGAUAGACAAGGGCACUUAUCAUGUCAAGUGUUUGAGUUCUCUAAUUUUGGUUUUCCUUGUUUCAGGACAUUAUGUUCCACAACUUAGCCAAGUUAUUGUCAAGUACAACUCAGCUACAAAACACGAUUCUAUAAAUUUCAAAGGUUUCAUGGUAUGAAUUCCAUUUUUACACAAAACAAUAAAAAAUAAACUAGUAGUAAUCCCAUGCAAUAUUGUAAGAAUGUGGAGAAUAAAUUGCCGAAAACGUGUCAUUAGGGGAAUAAUAUGUAUCUCUGUCUGCUGCAGGUGGGAAAUGCUCUAACAGAUGAUUUCCAUGAUCAAUUGGGGAUUUUCGAGUUUAUGUGGACAAAUGGUAUGAUCUCGGAUCAAACAUUCAAGCUCUUGAACUUGCUAUGUGAUUUUCAGUCAGUCGAACACCCGUCACAGUCCUGUGAAAGGAUCUUGGAAAUUGCUGAUAAGGAAAUGGGUAAUAUAGACCCAUACAGUAUCUUCACUCCUCCUUGCCAUGCUAAUGAUAAUCAGCAGAUCAAAAGAAAGAAUGUAAGUUACUUUUCUUGCAUCUUAACUGACACAAACAUCGAUAAUUAUUUAAGCAAAUAGAAGUAAUUGAAUGUAACAUCAUUGUUAGACACUGACACGUCCCAGACGCCAGGUACGCCUUCAACCAGAGGUGUCGGUGCUACAUAGAUAGAGUACAUGGGUUAAAUCCUGGUUCUGUGUGUAUGCAACUAGGCCGGAUAUUAAGCAUAAUAAAAUAAUUUAAUACUUGUUAUGACAGUUCAGCAGUUAUAUCAUUUCUGUUACAAGCAGUUACUGAACUGCCUUGUACUCUAUUAAAACACAAGUUUAAAGAAUUAGAACACAGAAACCAAUCACUUACAACUUCUCAAUUUCACUCUAAACUCUCAAAAUUCUCUAAAAUCACAACCUCAAAUGCCUCUGCCCCAGCCCCAGCCAGAUUCGCUUGCAGCUCAGCCACAAUACAUAACUCUUCUUUUUUGGGUGCAAACUCUCUUAUUCGCAUGCAGCUCGGCCACAAUACAGUAACAGCCUAGCAGGCUUAACCACUAAUGCAAAGGUUUCCGAGUAGUCACAACCAUAGCUUUUAUGAAACUCCUGGCCAAUAAGUCUUGCCUUAUUGACUGCACCAUCUGGUUUUUCCUUAAUCUUGAAUACUCUGCAGCUCUCCAAUGAGGAGAAGCAUAGGCUUGCUAAAAAGUGGAAGGCUCUGAAUCUAUAUAUAGAAGUUUUAAGAUGCCGUCAAGGCUCGACAAUACCCAACUCAGGAGAGGGAGAAAAGGUUUUUGCGCAGCAUGCUGCAUAGGUUCGGGGGAAGGAGAAAUAACUUGUGCAGUAGAAGGUUGACACAAAGACGGACCAGAUAGUGAAAAAGUAAUAGAAGGAAUGGGGUCAGUAGUUAGAAUAACACCGUGAGGGACAACUCUGGAGGUUGCAUUUGGUGCCGGUGGAGAGACAUUCUUAAUACGAUAAUCUUUCUUAACCCUGGAAAACUGUCAGAUAAUCUGAUGUUGAGUAGCGAGGUAAGUGAAGUGCCAAGGAAUGUCAUUCCAAACAACUUAAAAAGGGAAUUUAGUUUCGUCAAACAUGACAUAUUUAGAAAUGAACAUUUUUCCUUCCUUAUCUAGAUACUUCUACCUUUCAUGACAAGAUGAGUAACCAAGUAAGGUACAUUCGAUAGAUCUAAAUUGAAGUUUAUAUUUUUUAAAUACACGAAAUAUCUAACUGAAUUAUAGAGUCCAGCCUAUGAACAACAACUAUGGCUACCGAUGCAUAUUCUCAACACUGAAUUAUAGAGUCCUGAAUUAUAUGAUUUUAUAUCAUAAACCCUCAUUCAUAUGCUCUGUCAUGUAACAGAGUGUUGGAAGACUAAGAGGCGUGUAUGAUCCUUGCACCGAAAAGCACAGCACUAUAUACUUCAAUCGACCAGAGGUCCAAAGGAUUCUACAUGUUGAUCCAGAUUAUAAGCCUGCUAAAUGGGAGACCUGCAGGUAAUGCUCAUCUACUUAUUUCCACAUCAUGUGUUACAAAUCGCAUAACAACCUUUUUAACAUUGAAAAAUAGAAGUGACAAAACAAAAACCAACUCGGAGGAAGCUUCAUGUAUAUGAUGAACUGCAAUGUAGAAACUGAAUGAUUCUAUCUCUGCACCUUUUCUGUACUUUUUAUACAGAGUUCCUUUGCAUAUGAUAUUAACUUAUUAACUAACAAUUCAAGAAUCCUUGUAAGUUGUAACUAAAUCAUUUGAUAUUACGUAGUGACUUCAGGGAUUUAGGCACAGCAUAAAGUGCAUCACCAUAUUUUUCUUUCAUGUUUAUAACAAACUCUCAAGAUCAGAAUCCACUUAUUCUCUCAUUCAUUGCAGCACUGUGGUAAAUACAAACUGGAAGGAUUCUCCUAGAACAGUACUCGACAUAUAUCGUGAACUUAUUCCUACUGGUCUACGAAUAUGGAUAUUCAGGUUACUCAUUCAUCCACUGUAACUCAUAUAAAAUUUUUUUUUUUCGCCAAAAAAUAUUUUGGACUCCAAAGCGGCUUACACUUUUUUUGUGUUUUCGCAAUUCAUCUAUGUCAUGUCAGUGGCAAUACAGAUGCUGUAAUCCCAGUAACAUCUACUCGCUAUACUAUAAAUGCUCUCAAGCUUCCAACCGUGAGCCCUUGGCGUGCAUGGUAUGAUGACGGGGAGGUAAGUCAGUAAUAGAUAAAUAGAUAGAUAGAUAUUGUUCAUUUCACAUUUACUUCAGUGCAUUGAUAUUGAUAUCUAAGUGAACCAAUCAGGUAGGAGGAUGGACCCAAGAAUACGCCGGACUCACGUUUGUAAAUGUAAGGGGUGCCGGGCAUGAAGUUCCUCUGCAUAGACCAAAACUUGCGCUAACAUUGAUCAAAGCCUUCUUAGCAGGAACCUCCAUGCCAACUCUUGAACCACUCACCGCCGCCUCUUGAUAUGAUUCGUUCAAGUUAUGGUUGUUACAUUGCCAUUUGUGUUUGUUUUCCAUUGAAUAUUUGUCAAUAGUAUUCUUCCAAGCAGUGCUAUAUGUAGCACAAUUUAUUC